UCCCAAAUAGCUCAGUUGGUUAGAGCAUCUGACUGUUAAUCAGAGGGUCGCUGGUUCAAGUCCAGCUUUGGGAG
rnacentral:tRNA from 7 species